rnacentral:rRNA from 1 species
AGUGAACGCUGGCGGUAGGCCUAACACAUGCAAGUCGAACGGCAGCACAGUAAGAGCUUGCUCUUACGGGUGGCGAGUGGCGGACGGGUGAGGAAUACAUCGGAAUCUACUUUUUCGUGGGGGAUAACGUAGGGAAACUUACGCUAAUACCGCAUACGACCUACGGGUGAAAGCAGGGGAUCUUCGGACCUUGCGCGAUUGAAUGAGCCGAUGUCGGAUUAGCUAGUUGGCGGGGUAAAGGCCCACCAAGGCGACGAUCCGUAGCUGGGCUGAGAGGAUGAUCAGCCACACUGGAACUGAGACACGGUCCAGACUCCUACGGGAGGCAGCAGUGGGGAAUAUUGGACAAAGGGCGCAAGCCUGAUCCAGCCAUACCGCGUGGGUGAAGAAGGCCUUCGGGUUGUAAAGCCCUUUUGUUGGGAAAGAAAAGCAGCAGGUUAAUACCCCGCUGUUCUGACGGUACCCAAAGAAUAAGCACCGGCUAACUUCGUG